GAUGAACGCUGGCGGCGUGCCUAAUACAUGCAAGUCGAGCGAACGGACGAGAAGCUUGCUUCUCUGAUGUUAGCGGCGGACGGGUGAGUAACACGUGGAUAACCUACCUAUAAGACUGGGAUAACUUCGGGAAACCGGAGCUAAUACCGGAUAAUAUUUUGAACCGCAUGGUUCAAAAGUGAAAGACGGUCUUGCUGUCACUUAUAGAUGGAUCCGCGCUGCAUUAGCUAGUUGGUAAGGUAACGGCUUACCAAGGCAACGAUGCAUAGCCGACCUGAGAGGGUGAUCGGCCACACUGGAACUGAGACACGGUCCAGACUCCUACGGGAGGCAGCAGUAGGGAAUCUUCCGCAAUGGGCGAAAGCCUGACGGAGCAACGCCGCGUGAGUGGUGAAGGUCUUCGGAUCGUAAAACUCUGUUAUUAGGGAAGAACAUAUGUGUAAGUAACUGUGCACAUCUUGACGGUACCUAAUCAGAAAGCCACGGCUAACUACGUGCCAGCAGCCGCGGUAAUACGUAGGUGGCAAGCGUUAUCCGGAAUUAUUGGGCGUAAAGCGCGCGUAGGCGGUUUUUUAAGUCUGAUGUGAAAGCCCACGGCUCAACCGUGGAGGGUCAUUGGAAACUGGAAAACUUGAGUGCAGAAGAGGAAAGUGGAAUUCCAUGUGUAGCGGUGAAAUGCGCAGAGAUAUGGAGGAACACCAGUGGCGAAGGCGACUUUCUGGUCUGUAACUGACGCUGAUGUGCGAAAGCGUGGGGAUCAAACAGGAUUAGAUACCCUGGUAGUCCACGCCGUAAACGAUGAGUGCUAAGUGUUAGGGGGUUUCCGCCCCUUAGUGCUGCAGCUAACGCAUUAAGCACUCCGCCUGGGGAGUACGACCGCAAGGUUGAAACUCAAAGGAAUUGACGGGGACCCGCACAAGCGGUGGAGCAUGUGGUUUAAUUCGAAGCAACGCGAAGAACCUUACCAAAUCUUGACAUCCUUUGACAACUCUAGAGAUAGAGCCUUCCCCUUCGGGGGACAAAGUGACAGGUGGUGCAUGGUUGUCGUCAGCUCGUGUCGUGGGAUGUUGGGUUAAGUCCCGCAACGAGCGCAACCCUUAAGCUUAGUUGCCAUCAUUAAGUUGGGCACUCUAAGUUGACUGCCGGUGACAAACCGGAGGAAGGUGGGGAUGACGUCAAAUCAUCAUGCCCCUUAUGAUUUGGGCUACACACGUGCUACAAUGGACAAUACAAAGGGCAGCGAAACCGCGAGGUCAAGCAAAUCCCAUAAAGUUGUUCUCAGUUCGGAUUGUAGUCUGCAACUCGACUACAUGAAGCUGGAAUCGCUAGUAAUCGUAGAUCAGCAUGCUACGGUGAAUACGUUCCCGGGUCU
rnacentral:rRNA from 1 species